GUAGGAUUGUUCGAUUUGUUACUUCUACUUCAUCAUUAGAUUGUGAAUGGCCGACUGAUGUGAGCUUGUGCGUAAUAUAAAAUUUUAUAUAAAAUUUUUUAAAAUUUUGAUUGUCGAAUUGUUGACCAUUAUCGAUGAUAAUAGUGUGUGGUAGAUCGAAUCUAUAUAUGAUUGACUUCUGAAUGAAGUCUUCCAUCUUAGUUUUAGUGAUUUAUGCCA
rnacentral:lncRNA from 1 species